rnacentral:lncRNA from 1 species
GAGAGAGUUGGUGCUGUUAGAAGAUAGUGAUAUCUGAAGGAUCAAGAAAUGGGAAGGAAAUUUGGUAGGUUGAAGAGAAUGGUGAAGCAACAGAGAGGGAAGCUCUAUCUUAUGAGGGUGUGCAUUACCAUGCUUCUUUGUUGGCACAAGUACUCAUAGAAGCUAGCUUAGCUAGCACAUUUUGCUGUAUUUUUACUGAGACUCAAAUGACUGUCUGUGUUGUUAAUUAAUAUUGUUUUCCUUUGAUUUGAUGUCUAUCAUAAGCUCUUAUGAUACUUUGUAUUUCACUCGCAUUUUGUAGCUAGACUUGACAUAAUGUAAGAAAUAUUGCCUUCCACAAA